GUUGCCAGUCUCUCAUAAUCUAUGCCAAUGAGGGUUUUCGCGAUUGAAAAAUCCAAUCAUGCAGCAUUUGGACCUCGCGUCUACGUAUUGCCAUCUCGCGGAUUUUUCAAUCGCAAAAACCCUCAUUCAUAGCACAUGUAUAAUAAUAGACCAAAUGAACUUUUAUAGAUUGUGAAAGAGAAGAUAAAGAUUUUAUUAUUUUAUUAAAAUCUUGCCACGAGGUAGUUUUUCAGUAGAAACCAGGAUUGGAUAAUGGCUACAGAAAGAAAACCAAUGUGGAGCCCUUAUUAUUCAUACUGUUUGAAAGUUACAAGUCAGUGAUACAGUUGCCACCAUUAUAACUCCGUGGUGAUACCAUACCAAAGAAGAAGUUUUCCUAAACACUUGUGUUAUUUUUAUAUGUGAUCAAAUAAAAAGGAUUAAUUCUACUGCUCAAAUGGAAUAACUUAUCCCAAGAGACCGAAUAUAAAAAAAAAACCCUCCAUAGAAAUUAUCACCAUCACGAGGAUGUGAAUUUUUUUGAGAAUUUGAUAAUGGUCCUGUAAGAAAAGUAGUUGUAUUUCAGUAGUAGAAUCAACCCUUCUUGUUUCAUUAGCAAGAGUAACUAUAAAAACGCCCUGUAGGUAGGUAUUAUUAAGCUGAAGAGUUUGUUUAGUGUCAAAGACUGUCACACAGUGUAACUUAAAUUGGCAUUUAUUAUGAUAAUGAACAUAAAAACUUAAAUAAAUAUUUAUGUUAAUA